rnacentral:rRNA from 1 species
UACGAAGGGGGCUAGCGUUGUUCGGAAUUACUGGGCGUAAAGCGCGCGCAGGCGGUCCUUCAAGUCAGAGGUGAAAGCCCAGAGCUCAACUCUGGAAUGGCCUUUGAGACUAGAGGACUUGGGUACGGGAGAGGUGAGUGGAAUUCCGAGUGUAGAGGUGAAAUUCGUAGAUAUUCGGAAGAACACCAGUGGCGAAGGCGGCUCACUGGCCCGUUACUGACGCUGAGGCACGAAAGCGUGGGGAGCAAACAGG